rnacentral:rRNA from 1 species
UCCGGUUGAUCCUGCCAGACCCGACUGCUAUCGGAUUGGGAUUUAGCCAUGUUAGUUGUGCGUCCUUGGCUACAGGGACGCAGCGUACGGCUCAGUAACACGUAGUCAACCUGCCCUGGAGACGCGGACAAACCCGGGAAACUGGGGCCUAUCCGCGAUAGAUGACCUCAUCUGGAAGGAGAGGUCGUCGAAAAGGGCGCACGGGUAUGCUCUGUGCGAACCGCUCCAGGAUGGGACUGCGGCCGAUCAGGCUGUUGGCGGGGUAAUGGCCCACCAAACCUGUAACCGGUACGGGCUUUGAGAGAAGGAGCCCGGAGAUGGACACUGAGACAAGGGUCCAGGCCCUACGGGGCGCAUCAGGCGCGAAACCUUCGCAAUGCGCGAAAGCGUGACGAGGCUAGUCCGAGUGCUUCCUGCUAAAGGGAGCUUUUCUCGGCUGUAAAUAGGCCGGGGAAUAAGGGGAGGGCAAGUCUGGCGUCAGCCGCCGCGGUAAUACCAGCUCCUCGAGUGGUCGGGACGAUUAUUGGGCCUAAAGCACCCGUAGCCGGUUCCGUAAGUCCUCUGUUAAAUCCAGUCGCUCAACGGCUGGUCUGCAGAGGAUACUGCGGGACUAGGAGGCGGGAGAGGCGGACGGUACUCCGCGUGUAGGGGUAAAAUCCUUUGAUCCGCGGAAGACCACCAGUGGCGAAGGCGGUCUGCCAGAACGCGCUCGACGGUGAGGGGUGAAAGCUGGGGGAGCGAACCGGAUUAGAUACCCGGGUAGUCCCAGCCGUAAACGAUGCGAGCUAGAUGAUUCGAUCGCAGUUCGCGAUCGAAGUGUCGCAGGAAAGCCGUUAAGCUCGCCGCCUGGGGAGUACGGUCGCAAGGCUGAAUCGUAAGAGAUCUUUUCUUCUUGCGCAGUUCACUUAAAGGAAUUGGCGGGGGAGCACCACAAGGGUGAGCCUGCGGUUCAUUGGAUUCAACGCCGGA